ACUUGGCACACAAGUAGACAACACUAAGCUACAUAAUUCUGUAUAUCUGUUUUGGAUUUUGAUCAACAGUGUUGCCAUGGUUACAAAAAACAAAAAAUAGAAAUUUCUGUAAAAUACUUUCAAAAUGCUACUUCUCCUACAGUAUUGGUUUAAAUACAGUAUAACUUGGCACACAAGUAGACAACACUAUGAUACUUAAUUCUAUUUAUUGCUGUUACAAAGUUUCAAUCCAAGUAUUACUUUUCUCUUCCUUUGUUAUAAGUACAACCCAGUAGAGCGACUGUGAGUCUCAUCAGAGACUUCUGGUUUUUGAGCAUCUUUUUUCUAGGAAGACUAAGUUUCUAGGAAGAUAUUGACCUUAAGUUGAGUUGACGCUUUUUCUCUUUGAAGAUUAAAGAUUUGGGGACAAUCAAGAAUUAAAGUGGCUGAAGUCAUGGAGACCCAAUCUCAGUUCACAGGGAAUACCACGGACUGCAAGGAAGGACAUUGGAACUGGCUUAUGUAUUCCAAUUUUGAUUGCAGUUGAUGAAAGAUGUCGUACUUAGGGAAACAUUAGAUGAAAUUACUUUGAAAUACCCCUAGUUUGUCAACUUCUAGCCAAGAUCCUACAGGUUAGUUGAAUUGGAGAACAGAUGUACACACAGUAGAAAGGAUAUUACCUGAAAACAUCAAAUGACG